UCGACCGCGACCCCAGGUCAGACGGGACUACCCGCUGAGUUUAAGCAUAUCAAUAAGCGGGGGAGAAGAAACUUACCA
rnacentral:rRNA from 1 species